rnacentral:rRNA from 1 species
GACGAACGCUGGCGGCGUGCCUAAUACAUGCAAGUCGAGCGGAACGGGGGGAGCUUGCUCCUCCCAGUUUAGCGGCGGACGGGUGAGUAACACGUGGGCAACCUGCCCUGCAGAUCGGGAUAACUCCGGGAAACCGGUGCUAAUACCGAAUAGUUUGGCGCCUCUCCUGAGGCGCUACGGAAAGACGGUUUCGGCUGUCACUGCAGGAUGGGCCCGCGGCGCAUUAGCUAGUUGGUGGGGUAACGGCCCACCAAGGCGACGAUGCGUAGCCGACCUGAGAGGGUGACCGGCCACACUGGGACUGAGACACGGCCCAGACUCCUACGGGAGGCAGCAGUAGGGAAUCUUCCGCAAUGGACGCAAGUCUGACGGAGCAACGCCGCGUGAGUGACGAAGGUUUUCGGAUCGUAAAACUCUGUUGUGAGGGAAGAACACGUACCAACUAACUAUUGGUACCUCGACGGUACCUCACCAGAAAGCCACGGCUAACUACGUGCCAGCCGCCGCGGUAA